rnacentral:rRNA from 1 species
GACGGAGGAUGCAAGCGUUAUCCGGAAUGAUUGGGCGUAAAGCGUCCGCAGGUGGCAGUUCAAGGCUGCUGUCAAAGACCGGGGCUUAACUUCGGAAAGGCAGUGGAAACUGAACAGCUAGAGUAUGGUAGGGGCAGAGGGAAUUCCUGGUGUAGCGGUGAAAUGCGUAGAGAUCAGGAAGAACAUCGGUGGCGAAGGCGGCUCUCUGGGACGGUACUGACGCUGAGACGCGAAAGCGUGGGGAGCGAACAGG